rnacentral:misc_RNA from 1 species
AACGCACAUUGCACUCUCUGGUAUUCCGGAGAGUAUGCUUGUUUGAGUAUCUGUAAACAUCUCAAAUCUCUCUUCGCUUGCGUCGAGAGAAUUGGAUUUGAGCGAUCCCGACUCCUUCAUCAGAAAGAGGAGGGUCGCUUGAAAUGCAGGUGCAGCUGGACAUUCUUCUGAGCUAAAAGCAUAUCUAUUUAGUCCCGUCAAACGGAUUAUUACUUUUGCUUCAGCUAAUAUAAAGGUCGAAUGAACUACCAACGCUGAUUGCAGGAAAACUCGUUUGUAACAGAACUUGUAAACUCGAUCUCAAAUCAAGUAAGACUACCCGCUGAACUUAA